GAAAGCAAUCAUGAAGGAUUUUUACUGAAAACACAAGACAAAUCUACGAAAUUCGUAACCUCCACAAUAGAAGGAGUACGAAAAUGGAGUCAAUACAGAGAUAUGUUUCCUCUCAUCUUUGAAAUAUUUGGUCAGUUUUUCAACACUGAAAAAAAUUUCUCUUUACAGCCAAAUUUCUAGUGAUAUCUAGUGAUAUCUUCUUCAUUUUAGUCACUUUGGACUCAGUACCAACAUCAAACAACAAUGGCACAGCAAAAAUUUUUAACAUCAAAGACCAGAGUGGCUCAAACAGGUGUAUCUACUGGGAAAUGGAUCAAAAAUUACCCAAAGUGGUUAAAGGCCAAGUUUAUAGG